GACGAACGCUGGCGGCGUGCUUAACACAUGCAAGUCGAACGGAAAGGCCCUGCUUUUGUGGGGUGCUCGAGUGGCGAACGGGUGAGUAACACGUGAGUAACCUGCCCUUGAAUUUGGGAUAACUUCAGGAAACUGGGGCUAAUACCGGAUAGGAGCUCCUGCUGCAUGGUGGGGGUUGGAAAGUUUCGGCGGUUGGGGAUGGACUAGCGGGUUAUCAGCUUGUUGGUGGGGUAGUGGCUUACAAAGGCUAUGACGGGUAGCCGGCCUGGGAGGUGGACCGGCCACAUUGGGACUGAGAUACGGCCCAGACUCCUACGGGAGGCAGCAGUGGAGAAUAUUGCACAAUGGGCGGAAGCCUGAUGCAGCAACGCCGCGUGCGGGAUGACGGGCUUCGGGUUGUAAACCGCUUUCGCCUGUGACGAAGCGUGAGUGACGGUAAUGAGUAAAGAAGCACCGGCUAACUACGUG
rnacentral:rRNA from 1 species